UCUACUUUAUCUAUCCCAAUUGCUAUCAAUGUAUUCCAUUGGAAAUGUGGACAGUAGGCACAAUGUCUAGAUACACUGUGUUCUCAUUUUUUAUUUCUUAUAUUUUGAAAAUGUUCCAAUAAUCUCACAUGCAAUUUUCGAAUCGUACGACCAAUGUAUUGAGCUCCACAACCACACUGCAGUAAAUAAACUACGUGGGUGGUGGAGCAUUGAAUAAAUUUAUUGAUCUGAUAAGUUUGUUGAGUAUAAGUGCCUAAAAAUACAUCUGUGCUCUUUUUUUGAAAAUUGCAUGUGGAACACCUUCCACAUCUAAAAAAGCCUUUUAGUAUUUGAUUUGAAAAAAUAUGUGUGGGUUGAG